rnacentral:rRNA from 1 species
GAUGAACGCUAGCUACAGGCUUAACACAUGCAAGUCGAGGGGAAACGGCAUUGAGUGCUUGCACUCUUUGGACGUCGACCGGCGCACGGGUGAGUAACGCGUAUCCAACCUUCCCAUUCCUGUGGGAUAACCUGCCGAAAGGCAGACUAAUACCGCAUAGUCUUCGAUGACGGCAUCAGCUUUGAAGUAAAGCUUUAUCGGUAAUGGAUGGGGAUGCGUCUGAUUAGCUUGUUGGCGGGGUAACGGCCAACCAAGGCGACGAUCAGUAGGGGUUCUGAGAGGAAGGUCCCCCACAUUGGAGCUGAGACACGGUCCAAACACCUACGGGAGGCAGCAGUGAGGAAUAUUGGUCAAGGGACGGAAGUCUGAACCAGCCAAGUAGCGUGCAGGAAGACGGCCCUAUGGGUUGUAAACUGCUUUUGUAUGGGGAUAAAGUUAGGGACGUGUCCCUAUUUGCAGGUACCAUACGAAUAAGGACCGGCUAAUUCCGUG